rnacentral:tRNA from 7 species
GGCGACGUGGCGGAGUGGUUACGCAGCGGACUGCAAAUCCGUGUACGCCGGUUCGAUUCCGGCCGUCGCCUCCA